UGGGGAAUUUUGCACAAUGGGGGAAACCCUGAUGCAGCGACGCCGCGUGAUUUAGAAGGCCUUCGGGUUGUAAAAAUCUUUUCUAUGGGAAGAAAAUGACAGUACCAUAGGAAUAAGGACCGGCUAAUUACGUGCCAGCAGCCGCGGUAAUACGUAAGGUCCGAGCGUUGUCCGGAAUCAUUGGGCGUAAAGGGUACGUAGGCGGGUAAGCAAGUUAGAAGUGAAAUCCUAUAGCUCAACUAUAGUAAGCUUUUAAAACUGCUCAUCUUGAGGUAUGGAAGGGAAAGUGGAAUUCCUAGUGUAGCGGUGAAGUGCGCAGAUAUUAGGAGGAGUACCGGUGGCGAAGACGACUUUCUGGCCAUAACCUGACGCUGAGGUACGAAAGCGUGGGUAGCAAGCAGG
rnacentral:rRNA from 1 species